GAUCACUCGUCGCGAGCGGUCACUCGACGCGAGCACCGAGUCGCUACGGACGGUGACUCGAGACGAGUGACCGGUCGACGAGCGUC
rnacentral:pre_miRNA from 1 species